AGCUGACUCAGCCUGAAAUUUUUAAAGAUAAUUUCAAACAAAAAUGAAUGUAAAAACUUCAUAUCAGAAUGAAUGCAGUCAUGAGCAUCAACAUUAUUGCAUGAAUCAGUUGUUCAUAGUUAUCAAAAUCUAAGUAAAUUGUUAAACUAGAAAACCACCUCCCAUGAAACAUUUUCUGAAUGUAACUAAAACCAAGCAUCAAUUCGGAUCUUUUCCUAUUCAGUAGUGAGACCGUUAAAAUUUAAAAAGCUUACAAAAGCAUAAUUUUCUCAACUUUGAGCAUCUACAUUAGUACUAAGGCUUUUCUUGGUUUGAAGGAUGGAAA